UACCCGCAGCACAAGUGGUGGUCAUUAUUAUUGGGCCUAAAGCGUCCGUAGCUGGCGUGUUAGAUGCCUGGGUAAAUCGAUGCGCUCAACGUAUCGAAUUCCGGGUAGACCGGCACGCUCGAGACCGGGAGAGGCAUGGGGUACUCGGGGGGGUAGGGGUAAAAUCCUGUAAUCCUCCGGGGACGACCAGUGGCGAAGGCGCCAUGCUAGAACGGCUCUGACAGUGAGGGACGAAGCCCUGGGGCGCAAACCGG
rnacentral:rRNA from 1 species